GUGUCUGAUUAUAACUCGGUACAUUUUCGGUGCUAUAAAAUCGAUGCCCGCUCAAACAUACUCGCAGUCCUUUCAAACUUCGCACCAAAAUGUGUGUUAAGAAUCGUGCCAUGGCCCAGGCGGUGCGAGGAUGCAGCGACGCCCGACUUUAUUAAAAGGCUCAUUUCGCACCGGAUGAUGAUAACCCAACAUUAGGUUCGCAUAAAUUAAGUCCCAAGGAUACAACAACGUACACGCAAAACACCACCCCCUAUUUCGGUCACUGUUGGUACAGGUUUAGAGUACUAAAUCACCGCGCUGUCGUGACAGGAUGGUUCUCCCGUUGGAGCGAUCCAAGUGGCUUUUUUCUCAAUAAAAAAGCAAAAAUGUUGUUCGUAGUGUAGGCGCUUCCUCCCACUUGAGCAUCCAGGGUUUGGCGUAGGUCUCCUAUCUUAGAAUCUUGUGCUCAACUGGCGGGCGGCAUUACAUGCUCCAAAGAAAAAUAAACUAAAAAUUGUAAAAUCCCCCAUUAAUUGAAGUAACGAAAUUACCCGAGAAUCAUUAGAGUUACGCUGCCGUCGAUUUUGAACGCUGAACUUGGGUCAGCAGUAAAUGUUUCGGAAUUUCCAUUGCCCUUCGAAUAGCCAUUUUGUUAUGCUCGUGAUAAAAGGAAGCGGAUCGUUUUUUGAAGUUACGUUGUCGUAGUCGAUAAUUGUAUUUGGUUAAGACGCCCUAGUUAAUUAAGUUUAAUUUAUAGGUAAGUAUAAAAAUGGAGCAAAGUUACGCAAACUAAGGCAUAUUGUAAGACUCGUUGUUAGGUCUAGUAAACUGACUUAGUUAAGGUAAUUUCUCCACUAAACAGGGACUGGAUAGGGCCUCUAGUCGUAAGCUACGAUAGGAAAAACGAAUUGCAUUCUUUUAUCAAUUGCAUGUGUCAGCGAAAUGUGUUUUCGUAAUAAAGCUGUAUGAAAA